GAUCAUGGCUCAGAUUGAACGCUGGCGGAAUGCUUUACACAUGCAAGUCGAACGGUAGAGGGGGCAACCCCUCGAGAGUGGCGAACGGGUGAGUAAUAUAUCGGAACGUGCCCAGUCUGGGGGAUAACGUAGCGAAAGUUACGCUAAUACCGCAUACGAUCUACGGAUGAAAGCGGGGGAUCGCAAGACCUCGCGCGAUUGGAGCGGCCGAUAUCAGAUUAGGUAGUUGGUGGGGUAAAGGCUCACCAAGCCAACGAUCUGUAGCUGGUCUGAGAGGACGACCAGCCACACUGGAACUGAGACACGGUCCAGACUCCUACGGGAGGCAGCAGUGGGGAAUUUUGGACAAUGGACGCAAGUCUGAUCCAGCCAUUCCGCGUGCAGGAUGAAGGCCCUCGGGUUUUAAACUGCUUUUGUACGGAACGAAAAGGUUUCCAUUAAUACUGGGAGCUCAUGACGGUACCGUAAGAAUAAGCACCGGCUAACUACGUG
rnacentral:rRNA from 1 species